UUCGAGAAUGGAAAGCCAGCUGAAAAGGAACUCUGUGGACAGAAUCCGGGGCCUGGAUCCCACUACAGCUGCCCAGGGCCUGCCUCCCAGCGACACCCCAUCCACUGGUUCUCUGGGGAAGAAGAGAAGGAAAAGGAGGAGGAAGGCCCAUUUGGACAAUCUCAAAAGAGAUGACAAUGUCAACACAUCUGAGGACGAGGACAUGUUUCCCAUAGAGAUGAGCUCGGAUGAGGACACAGCACUGAUGGAUUGGGAGCAGAGCUCUUCCUAAUGAUGUACCACCAUUCCAAGAUGAUAUUCCUAAGGAAAACCUCCCCUCGAUUUCAACAUAUCCCCAGUCAGCAUCGUACCCCAAUUCAGACAGAGAGUGGUCCCCCAGCCCCAGCCUGGUAGAUUGUCAGAGGACUCCCCCUCACCUGGCCGAGGGAGUUCUCUCUAGCUCUUGUCCUCUGCAGUCUUGCCACUUCCAUGCUUCGGAAAGUCCUUCAGGCUCCCGGCCCUCAACACCAAAAAGUGAUUCUGAGCUGGUCAGUAAGUCUGCAGACAGAUUGACGCCAAAGAAUAACCUGGAAAUGCUCUGGCUAUGGGGUGAAUUGCCACAGGCUGCAAAGUCGUCUUCUCCACACAAGAUGAAAGACUCCAGCCCCUUAGGAGGUCGGAAGAUGGCUGAUAAAAUCCACUUCCAGACCAUUCACAGCGAGUCUUCAGACACUUUCAGUGACCAGUCCCCAACAAUGGCCCGGGGGCUGCUCAUCC
rnacentral:lncRNA from 1 species